rnacentral:rRNA from 1 species
UACAGAGGCCUCGAGCGUUGUUCGGAAUUACUGGGCGUAAGGCGAAUGUAGGUGGUGACGUAAGUCAGAUGUGAAAGCCCAGGGCUUAACCCUGGAAAUGCAUUUGAUACUGCGUUGCUAGAGUAUGAGAGAGGAAAGGGGAAUUCCUAGUGUAGGAGUGAAAUCCGUAGAUAUUAGGAGGAAUACCAAUGGCGAAGGCACCUUUCUGGUUCAUUACUGACACUGAGAUUCGACAGCGUGGGUAGCAAACAGG